AUGUCUGGUGAUGCUCUUCUUAUACAAGACGCCAUGGGGAAAUUUGUAUAGCUGACAUCAACAUUCCUUGCGGGCUUUGUCAUUGCAUUUACCAAAGGCUGGCUUCUCACACUUGUAUUGUUAUCCAUCAUUCCUCUACUUGUCAUCUUUGGUGGAGUGAUGUCCUUCAUCCUAUCUAGGAUGGUGUCCCGUGGACAAGAUGCUUAUGCCAAGGCAGCAACGGUGGUUGAACAGACAAUUGGCUCCUUUAAAAUGAAAAUAACCACCAGUAGAUGAGAUGUAUCUUGUUUCCUUCUCAGGCUGCAUCUUUUACAGAGGAAAAGCAAGUUGUGGCUAGCUAUAACGAGUCCCUAAUUAAAGAUUACCAUUCAGGUUCAAAUGAAGGGCUGGCAAGUAGAUUAGGUCUUGGGUCGCAUUUUGCUACAUAAACAUUUUGCUAUUAUGUACUCCAGCUAUGCUUUGUCUAUCUGGUACGGUGCAAGGUUCAUCUUGGAAAAAGGAUAUAUUGGUGGUCAAGUUCUCAAUGUUUCCGACGCGAAGCUUCUCCAUUAAGUAGCAAGCGAUUUAAUUUUUAAGGGAGAAUUUUCUGCAAAAAGGUGUGAUGCUGGUGGUGAAUUGGCGAUGCAUGAGAGGAAUACUACUUGGUGGGAUGAAUAGGAAAGUUCUCGAUCUAUCCUUCAGGUUGAAGCCAAAGGAACUUUCUGUUUAGACGGCUUUUGCUGUAGGAUGUAGAACUCCCAAAAAUCGGAAAAGUGUAAAAGCAAUGGGGGCAGUUAGGCUUGUUUUCAAUUUGAAGCUGAAGUGCCAGAAAGCAAUACUACAAGAAAGGCUCUAUGCCUAUUCCUAACUUCUGAUGUUGUGUGUACUGAAGGACCUGAGAAAAAUUAGAGAACUGGGUUCUAUGGGUGCUUCGUUCGAUCAUGGGAAGGAUGGCAAUCUGCAUCUAGCCAGGGAAGGUGGCCACUCCCAUUGCCGAAUUGUCUAUGUUGCUGAUAUGAUAGGCAGAGAGAUAGAAAGGGCCCUAUUAGAGGCAGAUGUUGAGGAUCCUAAUAAAUAUGUGUUUGAACACCAUUUUGCUAUAGAUUUGUUGACCACUCAGGUAAGUUUAUUCCUUUAUAGCAACUGUUUGCAUUGGUUAUUAUGGUGAAAACUUUUCUGUUCUAGCAUCAAUUUGGUCCAAAAUGAAGGGCUGUUGCUUUAAUCUAAUUAAACUUGGCAUUAUUCUUUUGCUUAUGUGUCAUAGUUGACUCAAAUGACAUGCAUUCAAACAAUUGCUAUGUUGGUGAUCCCUGGUUCUUUCACCAAUAACUUUUAUCGUUUUUUGGGUUUAAAGAUAUUCAUGAUUAUGAUGUAUGAAUUUGUGUAGGUGCAUUGAUCAUGAUUCUGAAGAUGUACCAAUGGCAUUUAACAAAGUUGCAACUUGACUACAUUAGAUCUUAUACCUGUAGAAGUGUUCCCUGAAGCUCUAUUAAUUGGCGCUAUUACUUUCAAUUAAUAGGUCUUAAAAAUAAGUACUCAUCAAAAUGGGCAUUCAAUGAGUUGUUAAACUUGUGCUUGUCUUACAUUUUUAUUUUCCUAUUGGUUUAUCUUUUUCUUUUUAAAGAUUCACUGGCCUUUUCUGAUGAAAAAUGUUGUCACUAACUUUAAACCUGAAAACUUGAGUCCAACAGAUAUACUUAGCACAUGGUAAGUAACAGAAGAACUUUAUGAUUUUGGGAAAACUAGAGCUAUUGGAGUUAGCAAUUUCUCUAUCGAAUAACUGAAGAUCUUCUCGAAAUAACUCUUCAGUUGCAUCUGCAUUAUCAAAGUCGGGUUCUUGAUUAGCUUUGGUAGCUCUUCAUUUGUCUUGUUCUGUUGUAAUUUUCCAUUCCAAGAUGAAUUUAUUGCAACUUAUGUGAGUAUAGUGUUAUAAAUUAUUGUUUUUUCACCUAAGGCAAAUUAAUGAAUAGAAAGUGCACGUGUUUGUUCACUUGAUAACCUUGAAUAGCGCAGAGAAUCUUUUGUUCAUGAUCCAAUUAGAAGUUUUUUCUCGGGAAUUACAUAUUGUGGCUAUUAUGCUUCUUAUCUCCUACUUGACGUUUUGUAUCAUGUAGAAUUUUAAGUCGAAGCUCUAAAGAACUAAAACUUUGGAUUGAGUUUCAUCCUGAAAAUUCACCUUUUCAUCCGAUAAGUUACUUGUCUGUGUCGUUUACUUUUUGAAAGUCCUCAGUUAAACUUUUGAUGUCAUUGUAGUUUCAAUGUUCUUAUACUUUUACAUAUAAACAAAGUCUCUGAAAUAGUUGGAUCCAUGUUUUUUGGGAAAUGAUAACCCGACAUGAGAUCUCAAUCAUAGAGGAUCAUCAAAAAGUUACAUUUCAUUUGGAUGAGUCAUUGAUAUUUGCUUUGGUUAUCUUGACGGGGGUUGAGAGAUUUCUCUACUAGAAAUUUUGUAAAAGGAAAUGGCCUGCGUAGAUAUAUCAUCGAAGUUAGAUUUCGAAGAAGAUACUAUUGAUCCUCAUGUAGCCAGAUUCUUCUUAUUUGGUAAGUAGACAAUGAUAUAAAAAUGAAAUUCCUAAAUUUAAGUUUAGUAUGUUAGAAAGUUGUAUAAAUAAAAUAUCCUUGAUAAUUUAUACACUUGUUUGUCUACUGAAAGGUUAAUUUUUAGAAAGUGGACUAUAUAUUUUAAUUUCCUCACUAAGGUGGUGUUUUUUGCAGGUUUAAGAUUUUCUUAUUUCUUUUCGAGCUUAUUUCUUCUCAAGAUAUAUUUUGAAGUUUUUUCUUUAAUUUGUGGGAGUAUUAUUCCUGCGUCUGCACAACAUGUUGGAUACUUUGGAUUUCUUUAUGUCAUACCACUCUUUCAGUUGUCUUCAUCUUUUCAAGGUAUCACCAUGUUAGGUAUGAUUUUCUUGCACUUUUUGCACAAAUCUUCUUCAAGCUCAAAUUUUGGGUAUCCAUCUUUCUUAAACUUCUUCGUCUCCUUUGUGUUCAAACUGGGUAUCCAUCUUUACUAUCAAUUUGGAUGCUAAAGUGGGUUGCUUAACAGUUGAUGAUAAAACUGGGUAUCCGUCUUUAAACAUAUGUGUGUACAUAUAUAUACACAGUUGAUGCAUAGGCCUUUUCAUGUUUUUUUGUUCCAUUUUCGUUUGUGGGUCUGUAACUCUGUGUAGAAUGUAAACAUGCUUGAUUUUGAAGAUUCAGUUUAUCUUUUUGGGAACCUUUUAUGUAGUUGAUUUUCAUAGUCUUCUCUGGGCUAAUUAACAAGAAUUGCACUAGAACAAAGAUUCAAUUGAUCAAGAUGUCACCUACAACUCCAAGAGUAACUUCACAAUCGUGGAGGGGAAGGUAAAUUUGCACUUCUAUGAAUAAAUGCAACUUCUAAAUUGCAAUUAAAUGUGCUCAAUCAAAAUGAAAUGACUGCAUUCAUCUACUUUUAUGUCUAGACACUUACGUUGUUCAAAUUCCAAGCACACAUUCAUGUCGAUAUUCGAUUCGGAUGCAGAUUUAGAGGCCGGAUUGUUCAUCAAAUAAAUUUAUGACUGAAAAGUAAGGAUUCGAGUGCACGAGUGCUGGGAUAGGACAAAUAAAUGUAUAUUACGACAUAUAAAUAAUAUGAUAAAUAAUAUUCUCAUGAAACCAAAAUACAAAUGCCGCAUGUUCGACGUUUCUUUGUUGGAAAUUGUUACAAAACUCACUGGAGGCCAAAUGAAUAUUGUAAGGUUUUGAAGGUAAAGUUCUUUUGAGAUUCAGUUGGUAGUAUCCAUUAGCGUAGGUAUAAAACUACUAACUUGGUCUUUGUUCUUGCCAUUGUUUACAAGACAAGAUGUUGGUACAACAGGUAAUUCUGUAUAAGCCUAGCUGACACAUGAGUUGACUGCUGGUUGCUAAUAAGGAAAUUUGUUGGGAUUUUUCUUUUUGCAUUCAUUGUUCGUGAUGUAUUUUACAACCAACCAGUUUGAAGGAAGCAAAUGCAUUCCAAGUACUUGUAGUUUUCUCACAAUUCAAACAAAUGAAAAAUAUUGAUUUACGUACUUUACUUCUAAAUCUGUACUCUGUCCUAUUUGAUCUUUUGGAUUGCAUAUAUAAUCUGGAAGCCUAAAGAGGGUCUUGCAUUCUCCGAAAAGAGUCUCUGCUAAGAAUCGCCCUUGUGCAUCCCAGUGUCUUCAAAAUUGUUGGUAUUUAAAGUGAGUAUGACCUGCUUUGCACACGUGCUUCUCCUUCCCCAUUGCAGCUGUUGUCCAGUGAAUUUGGGGUUCAUUUGAGUUCCCUUAAUAAAUCGAAUACAACUGAUGGUUCAUUCAAGCUCUCAGGAUAGAUCUCAGGUCCUGAUGUUUACACAGUGAAGAUGCCCACUCAACUGCAAAAUCGGAACUUAAUACGCUACCGGCACAUCUUAGAGUACUCCACCGGAUUACUGCUUUUAACUGUCCUGGUGACGAUGUCUGAUCAAAAUCUUAAACCCUAUAUCAAUUUCCGCUGAUCUAUCUGCUCAAGGAGAUGAGGAGCAUUAAGCGAAUGCCUGAGGUUAUUUGGAGUUCAAUUCGGUCGGGGUUUGUUAUCCUGUAUGAUUUCGCAAGGGUUUUUGAGGAGUUGGUUUUCAACUGCCUCAAUGCUGGUGCUACCAAGGUAUAUGUUGCUAUGGGCAUUGGAACCUGCUAUGUUAAGGACCUGGUGUCUCACGAGUCCAGGUGCUGAUGGGAGAAAGAUAUGGACGGAAAGUGUUUGUACCUUGGAGUUGAUGAUUCUAGUCAAGACGUUGGUACAAUAGUGAGGAUGACCGGCAUUGAACACGUGCUUCUCCUUCUCCAUUUCCGCUAUUGUCCAGUGAGUUUGGGUUUCAUCUGAGUUUCCUCAAUAAAUUGAAUGCAAGUGAUGGUUCAUUCAAGCUCUCAGAAUACAUUUCAGGUCCUUAUGUGUACACUUUGAAGGUAUACAAGCCCAAAUUGAUGGAUAAAAGAUGUGAUAAGUUAUCUUUUCCUUUCCCUAACAACUGUUUUCCUCCAAAGUAUUGAUAUUGAAAGGUCCUUCAAUAUUUGUGGAGCACGGUACAUCUAUACAGAUUCAACAAAUAUAUAUAUAUAUAUAU